rnacentral:misc_RNA from 1 species
GAUGAAGAACGUAGUAAAAUGCGAUACUUGGGGUGAAUUGCAGAAUCCCGUGAACCAUCGAGUUUUUGAACGCAAGUUGCGCCCGAAGCCUUUUGGCCGAGGGCACGUCUGCCUGGGCGUCACGCAUCGCGUCGCCCCCCACAAUUCUCCGUAAAGGGAACGUGUGUUUUGGGGGCGGAUAUUGGUCUCCCGUGCUCAUGGCGUGGUUGGCCGAAAUAGGAGUCCUUUCGAUGGACGCACGAACUAGUGGUGGUCGUAAAAACCCUCGUCUUUUGUUUCGUGCUGUUGCUCGCAAGGUAAACUCUUUAAAAACCCCAAUGUGUCGUCUCUUGACGACGCUUCGACCGCGACCCCAGGUCAGGCGGGACUACCCGCUGAGUUUAAGCAUAUCAAUAAGCGGAGGA